CAACAAACUAGCUUGACGAAGCGAAAAGCAGACUACGACUGCCUGUUUGUUGUUAUUGUUAAUCGUAG
rnacentral:ncRNA from 12 species